AGAGUUUGAUCAUGGCUCAGAACGAACGCUGGCGGCGUGCCUAACACAUGCAAGUCGAACGAGAAAGCAGACUUCGGUCUGCAAGUACAGUGGCAGACGGGUGAGUAACACGUGGGUAAUCUGCCCGGAGGUGGGGGAUAACUUUCCGAAAGGAAAGCUAAUACCGCAUAAUAUCCGGUCCGUUGCGACGGACCUGAUCAAAGUUGGCCUCUUCUUGAAAGCUAACACCAUCGGAUGAGCUCGCGGCCCAUUAGCUUGUUGGUGAGGUAAAGGCUCACCAAGGCUACGAUGGGUAGCCGGCCUGAGAGGGCGAUCGGCCACACUGGAACUGAGACACGGUCCAGACUCCUACGGGAGGCAGCAGUGAGGAAUUUUGCGCAAUGGGGGAAACCCUGACGCAGCGACGCCGCGUGUAGGACGAAGGCCUUCGGGUCGUAAACUACUGUCAAGUGGGACGAAUGCCACGGGGGCUAAUAUCUCCUGUGGUUGACGGUACCACUGAAGGAAGCCCCGGCUAACUCCGUGCCAGCAGCCGCGGUAAUACGGAGGGGGCAAGCGUUGUUCGGAAUUAUUGGGCGUAAAGGGCGCGUAGGCGGCCAACUAAGUCAGGCGUGAAAUCCCGCGGCUCAACCGCGGAACUGCGCUUGAAACUAUUUGGCUUGAGUCCCGGAGAGGGUAGUGGAAUUCCUAGUGUAGCGGUGAAAUGCGUAGAUAUUAGGAGGAACACCAGUGGCGAAGGCGACUACCUGGACGGGUACUGACGCUGAGGCGCGAAAGCAUGGGGAGCAAACAGGAUUAGAUACCCUGGUAGUCCAUGCUGUAAACGAUGAGCACUUGGUGUUGCGGGUAUCGACCCCUGCAGUGCCGAAGCUAACGCAUUAAGUGCUCCGCCUGGGGAGUACGGUCGCAAGGCUGAAACUCAAAGGAAUUGACGGGGGCCCGCACAAGCGGUGGAGCAUGUGGUUUAAUUCGACGCAACGCGAAGAACCUUACCUGGGUUUAAAUUGCGGUGGACCGCUUCAGAGAUGAAGCUUCCCUUCGGGGCUGCCGUGAAGGUGCUGCAUGGCUGUCGUC
rnacentral:rRNA from 1 species